AGCCUGAUAGGGUAAAGGAUUUGUCUCUUAGCUUUCAAAUGAGGCUUUAAAAGAGCUUGUGUCUUAGUUCAUCUACAGAUGGGCUGCUCGGCAAGGACUGCAGUUGGAAGUUUGAGAGAGAAGAUUCCAAGAUGAUCCCUGAUUUUAUACUCUGUGGCUUGGCUAAAGUAUCAGAAAGCUUCCUAAAUAAGGUGUCACAGCUUCAUCUCUGCGCCCGAAAACUUUCUGCAUCCAUAGAAGCACAGACAAACAAGGCUGGAGGCCAUAAUUGCCGUGGCAGCCUCUGAUGUAACGGCCCCAUGCCCCAGCCUUUCCUGGGUGAGCUAAUCCGGAGUCCUUUGCCGAGACAUAUUUUCUGGUCUCUUUGAUACUCCAACCCCACAGCCCUUCUCUGAACCCGUCUCUACUUUCCAGGACAGGAUACGUCACAGUGCUCUGGGAACCAGACCCUGGUAGAUUAAUUAAUGAAAUGGAUAAGAGGGGCCAAAACUGGGAGGGGAAACUGAGGCACAGAAGGGAUGUGGCUAGAGUCAUGGUCAAGCACAUAGAACCAGACCCUGGUAGCUUAAUGACAUGGAUAAGAGGGGCCAAGAGUGGAAGGGGAAACUGAGGCAUGGAGGGAUGGGGCCAGAGUCAUGGUCCCAAAUACAGGGGCCCUGAAUGGCCUCCCUGGGACACCAUACCAGGUUGGAGGGGGAGCAGCUGGGAUCACACCUGGAUUUGGGGCCUCUCAGGUUUGGCAGCAGCCCUUGGGCAACAAUCCCAUGCGCGGAGCCCCAAGAGACCCUACAAUAACAAGUCAUUGCAUGCAACUGGGCAUUUCCCAGAGCCCCUGCAACAAGCAAUGCCUCGGGCAGGAACAAGCCAACAAGCAUCUCCAACAGGCAGCAAUGGAAGCAGAACAUGCCCCAUGGGCCAUCUCUUUCCUUCCUCCCCAGGCUUCCUGCCCUGUUCCUACCAGGCAGGAUGCUGAAGCCUCCUGCCCCUUCUGCGGCUCUCCGCAUCUCACGUGGCCCUUCAGCUUGGCUUCCUGCUGCAUGCACAUGGAUGAGUGUCUACAUUGCUCGGUGCAACCCAGAACAACACCAAAGCGGGGGUUCUCUUGGGACCACGGCGCCAACUGUCCCCAGCUGGGCCUGGGCACAGCACAAGAUUAACCGUCCCGUAGCAAAGCCGUGGGCUCACAACAACCCGAAAUCACCCAGCACUUUUGCCCCUACAGCUGGGCUCCUGGAAGGGCUGCAGGGGAGGGAGGAGAUCUCAGGCCUGGCUGAAUUUGCAUAGCGACCUCAGGUGCAGCAGUCCCUGGAAAGGAGCCACAGAGCUGAGUUGACCCCUGCACUGGGUACAGAGGGUUUUGGUGCCAUCAACAGGAAAGCUCCUAGGCUGGGAUCCCCACAAUGCACCCCCCGACCCAUAUCAAAGGGAUUUAGGCACCUGGCACCCUGGGGGUGUCUGGCCCCUUCUGGAUUAAACCCAAAGCAAAGGCUGGUCCAUCCAUGAUGGGGCCUCUGCACCCUUCUCCAGCAAAGGGGAUCUUUAUUCAGCCCCCCAAAAUCAAGAGAUCAGGGUUAAAAGUAAUGAGCUUGUUUUCUUGAGCAAAAACUCUGGGGUGUUCUGAUUUGUCUGCUGGGGCUGCAGCCGUUCGGGUCCACGCUUUCGGGCUUUUCUCUGCAACGCAGAGGGUGAAAAAUUGACUCUUUAAAAAUAAAAGCACAGCAGGGAGCAGACAAGGUUCUUUGGGUAAAUGUGAUAUCUUUUAUUAAACAAACUAAAUAGUAAGAAAAAACUGUUCUUUGCAAACUUUCAGGUACAAACACCCUUUUUCUGCAGGGGAUUUCUGCUCUUCCUCAGGAAACGCGGGGUUCGGAGUCCAGGAAGUGUUGAUUUCCCUGGGAACAUCCUGGUUUUUUCCCCUCAGUCAAAACCCAACAGGUUUAGGUGGAAAUACUGUGGUGGGCAUGGCAGCUUUCCGAUUCUUCUUGCCGCCCCCCCCCCCCAGUCUCCUCCCUAGCCACACUCCAUCUCCCAUCAUGCACCAUGGUAGAAGACUCCCAUGAUGCUCUAGCUGCUGCCAUGGUGCAUUGUGGGGGAUGUAGUUAACCUAGGCCAAGCUGGGGGUGGGGACAUGGGGUCCCUGUCCUGGUUGGGGGUGGCGUUCAUUUGUAUGUGUGAUGGAGUUAGCCUACGGAGAGCCUGACCUGGUCCCCGUCCUGGAUGGGGGGUGUGCAUGGGUGUGUGUGUGUGCGUAUGUGCACGUGUGUUUGCACGCACCUUCUGCCGACGCGAACAUCAAGGCAUUAUCAUGGGACACAAGUUAUCUGCUCAAUGCUGGGAGCAUGGGGUGGGACGGUUGGGUCUGUGCCAGGCAGGCGUGUCUGGCUUCUCCCAUGGUCCCUCCUGCCUUUCAGCUCAGUGGAUCCAGGCACAAAUUUGGUCCUGACACAGAGAUUCAAGCCAGGGCUUCAGGCUCCUAAAUAGCCAGGAGCCAACCUGCAGCUUCUCCACCUAGGCUGGAGCUCCAGGGGCAGGGACAGGACCCUCUCUUGCUGUGGGGGGCCUUGGUGACCCUGCGAUGGACGUGUGUUGGGAGACCCACGUGGCAACUUGGCUUCUCCUCAGGGAUUUUUCUGCACGGCGCACCUCAGCUCCGGCCUCACACACACACGUGCACAAUUUGUACCAUGCACAGACAUUGAUGCACCCAACACAUCAGAUCCUUAGCACCACAACCCCUGCCCUCCGCACUUGCGUGCCAUAUCCCGCCACCCACCUGACGUAUCCCGUUACCCACACUCCCACCCACCAACAACCCCCCCCCCACACAAACACCGUCACCCGCAUCAGUCCCAGUGACACCCCCCUGCCUCUCCCGCUCAGGUGCGAGCUCCCUCUCCCCUGCACAAAGCACUCCCCAAAAGCCUUCCACUAAUGCAUGAGCCAUGGGUGUGCACAAAGACAUUGCACACACAACACACACGUACGCACAACAGAACCACACCCAGGCAUGCCCACGGCACCCCUCCUCCCAAAACACACUUGCAAUGCCCACACGAUUCCCAUUCACCCCCUUAACACGCACACUCCCACACACACACACAUGCACCCAUGCAGUUGGUCCAAGAAAAGAUAUCUCCCCCCAAAAUCUUUGCCGCUCGCAUAUUUCCUGGACCAUCGCGGCUGCAUCAGCACACAUACACACACACACACAACACCCACUCGCUCAUGCACACGUAAAUCAACAACACUGAUGGAACAUUUCUCCUACGGGCACGAAAGAAAGAGAGGCCCGGAGGGUGUUGGGGAUAUUUCUAAUUUUAGAUGCUUUGGAGAUGAUCCAAAAACCCGUCGGCCAUGGGAACACAGCACAGCGGAUCGAUGAGGCUGACGUUUCGAAGUCAGCGGCCUUCUGCCUGGAUCCUAGCAGUGGUCAAUCCUGGCUGGUUUCUCCUUGUUCCUCAUUUGGGCACAGUGACUCUAUACCAUCUGCCAGCGAAUUUACCGACUGUCAGUGAAAUUGAGAAAAAAAAAAAAAAGUGAAAAUUGCCUGUCAGUAAAAUCUGUUAAAUAUAAAUUUAUAUGUCAGUAAAAAAAAAAAUUAAAAAUAAUAUGGCAAGAUUCCCUAA